UCCUCUAGAAACGGAUGUCGACAUGGUCUGGACUCCGGUGCAAGAAUGUGUUAUUUACAGCUUCACUUGUUGAAAAUGUAGCAAGAUGGUAUUAAUUAAUUGGAAUACAUUGUUGUGAUGAGCAGACAUCAAGAUUAGAAGGCUCACAUGCAUGUAGAGGACAAUCCACUCAAAUUUUCAGAAUAAAGUGUUCUUCUGGAUGGUCUGGGCAGCCCAAAGACUAGUCUAAACCAAAGAUUACCAGGUAGUUUGCCCAGUAGUGAUCACUUGAUGAGCCAGACACAAAUUGAAGUGUUAGUGAUAUAAUGGAAAGAAAAAUACUCACUUUCUAAUCCAUUCGUAGAUGUUGUUUCUCUCCUCGGCUUCAUGUUUAUUACGUCCAAUACGAGUCAUGACUUCUUUUGUACCAAUUGACAUUCAAACCAUGGAUACCAGCAGCACUAAGCAUUUCUUCUUCAGUCUCAUGAAUAUCUAUAAGAUAAUCUUAAUAAAUAUAGGAUAGACAAUUCAUUUACCUCUUGGAAUAUUUUUCAAAUUAACUUAAAAUGCUGAAAACAGUUCAAACAAAAUUACAAUUAACAUAGUUAUGUUGAGUGGU